CGAAUGGUGUAACGUCAUUAUCUCGAUUCAAAGGAAAGCUCUCUGGUAGAUUGUAUGGGAUGCCGUCCUGUUUGUUGAUAACCCUAUCCGUCACCUUCGGUGUAGAAUGUUUACGUUCUUUCUGAAGCUCAGACGAAUCAGCAACAUCCGACUCACAUGCUUCGCAAUCCGGACAACUCCAGGAAAUGUUUCGUACGUCGUCAUUAACACCUGCACAACCGAAAUGAUACCAUCUUUGACAGUGAUCGCAAAAUACCAUAUUCGUUUCAUCGUUAUCGGGACGAUGGCAAGCCGCGCAAUUGUAGCCAGACUGUUCGGGAUUCUCGGGGUUACUAGUUCGAAUGCUUACGAAAUCUCUCCUUAUAUAAAUUUCAAAUUUCCUUCUUUCAAUUCACACGCCCUUUUAACCGACUAUAAAAAUAUUUCUAAGUAGCUUUAUCUAUCACCUUUCUUGCACUAUUUAGACUAUGCUUUUCCUGUUUUCUGACUUAUGCUAUACUUUUUUUCUUCUCCCUCUUUCGCAUAACAACUUUACAUAUAUCUUUACCUGUCUCCCGUCGGUAUAACGGUAUCUCCUUUCAAAUGUAUGUUGUCCUUACUCCGGCGGUACUCACUGAUUGCUGUUUUUGGAUGGUGCGUCUACACUUGGAUUCAUUUUCAGCACAUAUUAAAUACAUUGAAGGCACAUUUUUGGCUAGCCUUAUUCAGGAAUUAUAUUGGACACAAUUUGAAUUCACUUUCGACCUAUUCUUAGCAUAUUUUGGACACGUUUUUGAUAAAUUUUAGGCAUAUUUUGGACACAUGUUCGACACAUUGAAACAUAAUUUGAAUACAUGUUGGGCUCAUUUUAGACCCAUUUAAGGCAAAAAGCGAAUUCAUAUUACAACAUUUCGGACCGAAUAUCAGAUAUUCAAGACCUUUAUCGUGUUGAGUAUUUAGUUAAAAACUGUGGUGACGCUCUUAAUGAUUACACAGUAAAACGCAUUCGAGCACCCCUUGUCGUUUGGCAAUGAAUAAGAAGAAGAACUGGAAUUGCGCAGUUAUAAAUGAGAACACGAAUAAACAAGUUAGAGAGUACGCCGCGCUCGUCUUUUAUUUCUCGUCUCGCGGAACUUUCCCACAUUGGUGACCCCGACGUGAUUCAUUCCAUUCGAUAACGUAAUCGUCGCGACAUAAUAAAAAUGCUCGAGGACAACAACGGAAACAAUUC